UGAGGAGUUUUGGCUGAGAAAGCACUGGUGAUGGAGCCCAGGGCCUUAUGUACAAUUGGCAAGUGCUCUACCAUGGAGCUACACAGCAGACCUGAGUUAUGUGUUUUGGGGAUGAAGACUCCAGAGGCGAGGGGCCAGCACUAUCACCUUGUGUCAAGGGAACACGUACCAAUGUGACCUGUCACUGCGGAGACCUGGCAGAGGCAGCACUUGUCAGCUUUCCUCACGGUGAAGUUACUCAUUUUCCCCACGCUGCACUCUUUCAAAGCAAGUCAUUAAGCAUAGCCCACACUUAGGGAAAAUAAUCCGGAAUUUUAUUAGCCUGUUGUUAACCCUUUGGUAGCUUGAAAUUUGCCAUGGCGGGAUUUUGUCUCUUGGAAAUAAGACAACUCUACAAAUCUGGGCUCUUCUGGAGAGGAGGUUUUCUGGCCCACCUUGAAUGUGUGGAUUCCCAAGAGAUGAGAGUGGACAGGUGGAAGGGCCUUUGAAUCAAGAGGCUCACGGGGUGCAGGUAAAAGCUGGGGGCAGGAGUGGGUGUGGUGUGUUUGGAGGACAUGGAUUUAGGUAAAAGAGGCACGACAGACACGCAAGUCCUUGGGAACCUGACAGAAGCCAUUCUCCAAAAGGCUUUAAUUUAAGUAGAACUGGGGUCUUGCUGGACUUACUUUUGUUUUUUUCCCUUUUAUAGUAGUAAUAACUACCAUUUAUUGAGCACCUCUUGUUUAUGCAUGUUUUUAAUGUAUAUAAUUCCAUCCAAUCUUCACAGACUGUUUAGGGUGAGGUGUCAACUUGAUUGGCUGGGGGGACUAGUGGAGCUCACUUUUAGGUGUGUCAUGGAGGUGUGACCUUGGGUACUAGACAUGGUCAUGGGUCUGCUUCCUCUUGGCACUGUUCCCCUGCUUUACUUUCCAGGAACCAUAAACUAUGCAACUUUGCUCUGCCAUAUCCUUCUACCAUGAAGUUUCGGCCUCGGAGCCAGCUGACCAUGGACUGAACCUCCUGAAAAUUUGCUGGUCCUCUCCAUCACCAUCCAGACUAUUGUGGCCACUUUCUAUGUGGGCAGCAAUUCUGUUCUGUGUGCUGCUGUAGUUCACCAUCUAGUGUCUGGCAUCAUUCAUCAGGAUAUAUUUGCGAAUGCAUGAAUAAAAUGUUCAGUCCACUUUUCGCUCCACCUCUCGCAUCCCCAUUUUGCAGGCUACUGUCGGGAUUAUUGCGUGAAAACAGAAUCCAAUUGUAUCAACAACCUACAAAUCCUCUGGUGAUUGAUCUCCACUGCCAAAAAGUCAAGACCCUCAAAAUAGUCUUUACAGGUCUUUAGAAUUUGAUCCCGAUCUGCCAUUGUGGCUCAUCUCCUGAAUGCUAAAUGCAGUCACUUAGAAAUACCAUCUCCUGGUGAUAUCAAGAGCUCCUUUUGCUGUCCCUUUGGGAUUGCCCACCUGCCACCCUGCUGGUCAGGCCAGAUGUUCCCCAUUCUUCAAACCCUAGCUCAAAUAUCACCCUCUCAUGUGACCUUCUCUUGUUAAGGCAAGAACCAUUCCAACUGAGCUCAGCACACCUUGUUCAUAUUGCUUCUGAGGCCCACCCCAUAUAUUACCUAUUAGUUGGCCUAUGUCUGUCUCUCUGGAGAGAUGGUCUCUCCCUUGACACCCCGAGGUCACAUGAGCUACAUCUUAUUCAUUUAUCUUUGAUUCCCCAGUUGUUAACAUGGAAGCAUGUGUGAAAUUUGUAAUGAGAGGUAAAAUCUACUGACUGCAUGCAAUGUGCCAGAUAUUUAACACUGCCACCUCUUUCAUCCUCAAAAUAAUUCUCAGAGGUAGGUCAUAGUAUGGUUCUUAUUUUACAACUGAGGAAACUGAGGCUCAGAGAAGUUAAAUGCUUUGCCUGGAGUUGCACAGGUAGUAGAACCAUAACACAUGUAACACUCCAGACUCAGUCCUGACUGCCUACUGGAAUGCCCAAGGAGCUGUGAAGAACCUCUGGUGUCUGAGCCUCAUUCCAGAACAGCUGGGCCACUGAGGGUUGUUUUAAGAGAAAGACCACAGUGUCCCAUGCAGGAUGGUUUAGUUUUAGAGUUCUAUUGUGACAACCUCUGCAGCUGCCCAGGUCAUUAAAUUCAGUACACUUCUGCUUUCAACUAAAAGUUUCCUGGCCUUGCAUUGCUGUGACUGGGCCUGGUCUAGCAGCCUGGUGGCAUUAGCUUCCAGCUCACAUCAGGAUGGUUCCAGCCCCUUUUGGUGUGAGUCAGUACUGAAGAUUGAACCCAGGACCUUUGCAUUGAACUUCAUCCCCAGCCUCCUCCAGUGCCAAGCCUGGUGCCCAGCACAGUGCAGCUCUGUUGAUCACAAUGGAGUGAGCUGAGCUGCACACGAUGACCUCUCUGGCAGGACGCUGGCGUGGAGGGAAAAGAAGCCCAGAGCAAAUUCCAGCCCUGGCCUGCAGCUCAGAUUUGACCUCCCUCUACUUUUCUCAACACUAAUCCCAGGCCCGUGUUAUGAUAAACUACUUGCUCCUUGUUCAGCAGUACAUUCAGGAACUGGACAGCCGCCAAGGAAAACACAGGGGCAGUGGUGGACUAUUGAAAUAAAUGAGUAGCCUAUGAUAAAUAUAGGAAAAACAGUGUUAGUUAAUACACUUAUGCGCCAACAAAAUCACAUACUAUUUAAUAGGGGGAGGAGUUUUAACAUGAAUGCGUAUGGCUUUAUGUAACAAGGUUGAUUUAAAAAAGAAAAGACAACAAAUAAUCUACAACCUUUUUAGCCAAGUAAAUGCUGGUUCUUCAAAGUCAGUAUUAGUGUGGUGGGAAACAUCAGUUGCCUAAAACAGCUCUAUUAUUCUUGAUGGAGGUCUUCAGAGCUGGAAUAGGAGGAAAAUUAGAUACAUUACUUGAUAAUUUAGCUUUUUGGUUUCAAGUCCCAAAUGGUAUCAACCAACUUGAUUACUGGCCUGGUUCACUAGACUUGGCUCUGAAUUAUUUUUAACAGUUUCCAGGAAUUAAAUCCACCUUAAAAACAAAACAAAACAAAACCAAAAAACCUCACACAAAUCUUGCUAUUUCUCAGGCAUGAAAAAAAGGUCUUGUAAGUUCUGGUGUUCCUAAGGGAGGUUCCCAAACUCCCUUUUUCUGAGCAGGAAAAAUCCCUUUGUUGACCUCACAGGUGAUUUCUGCAAAUGUGCAAGUUUUGAUUUCUUUGUUUGAAGAUCUGUCAUGUCAUCUUAGGCUCAGCCUUCCUCCUUAUUCACACUCUGCAGACUGUCAUCAGGUUUGGUCUGCACAAAAUAGUUGACCUGCAUCAAGGAAUUUAAAUUUUGAAUACCAGACCAGCCAUGACAUUCAGAUCAGUGGGAGACUUUGCAAAUCAAUAUGCAAACCUGAGCAGCCCACAUGGGUGUCUCCCCAACUGGCUCUCAGCAGGAGGCACAGGUUAUGCAAUAACUGAACUCAGCCUGCUUUCCUUCCAACUCAGCAUAAAUCGCUUGUGUGCAGGCGUGAUGGUGCCAAGCCCAGCAGCGAAGGCUAAUUGAGAACCUCGAUGUCUGCCUUCCUGACAGUAGAAAGCUUCGACCUGCUUCCAGGUGACAGUACACACACUUCCAGCAUGAACUCAAAACCCCAGCUGUCUCACCUGUAGAAAAUGACAUGUGCAUAUUACUUUUUUAAUAGGAUUAUUUGCAAAAGAUUAUACACAACAUAAAUCUCCAUCAAUAGGGGCCUCGACCAAUGUAUUAUGGAGUAGAAUAUAUGCAGAUGCAUAGGUAUGUGUAUGCACACAUUUGACAGUUAGUUUUAUAUGUUAUUUUGGUUGAUAUAUCCAAGGGAUGUCCAAGUGGCUAGUAAAAUGUUACUUCUGGAUUUGUCUCAGAGAGUGUUUCUGGGAGAAAAUUGCAUUUGAACUGAUGGACUGAGUAAGAACAUCUGUCCUCACCAGUGUGGGCAGGCACAUUCAAACUACUGAGGGCCUGAAUAGAACAAAAAGAUAGAUGAAGGACAAAUUUCCUUUGCUUUAGCUGGGAUACACUUCUUAUCUUGCCCUUAGACAUUCUCGGGCCUUUGGAACUGGACUGAAAGUGCCAGAUGUGGACUGGAAGUACAGCUCUUUUUUUGUUUCUUUGUUUAAGCAACAUAUUCUCUCGCAGUUCUGUAGGCUGGAAUCUAAGAUCGAGUUGUCUUCUGAGACUCCUCACCUGGGCUUGCAGAUGUGGGUCUUCUCCCUGUGUCCACACUUGCUCUUCCCUCUGUGUGCCUGUGUCCUCAACUCCUCUUUUUCUCAGGGCAGUUGUCAUUUUGGAUUAAAGCUCACUCUAAUGGCUUCAUUUUAAAGGAAGUCCCUCUUUAUAGGGCAAAUCUCCAGAGAGAGCCACAUUCUAAAGUAUGAGGUUUGGGCCAGGUAUUUAGCUCAGUGGUUCUGCCACCUGCCUCACAAGUGUAAGGUCCUGAGUUUGAUCCCCGGUAACAAAAAAAAAAUUUUUUAAUAAAAAAAAUAAAGUAUGAGGUUUAACAUCCUUUAGCUAAAAUGCUUGGGAUCAGAGGCAUUUUGAAUUUUUUUCUCAGAUUUUGGAAUAUUUACAUAUAUGUAAUUUGAUACCUUGGCGGAUAGAACUCAAAUCUAAACAAACGAAUCUGUAUCUCAUGUACAUCUUAUGCAUCCAGCCUGAAUGUAACUUUAUACAAUAUUUUCAGGGUAACUACACCUGGCCUGACCUGUCCUAUGAGGUGAGGCAUGGAGUGUUCUGCUUGUGGUAUCACAUCAGCACCCCCUAAAAAUUUCAGAGCCCUUCCUGGGCCUCUAGCUCACAGAUGGCAGGUGGUGGCACUUGUUGGCCUCCAUAAUCACACGAACCAAUCUUUCAUAAUAAACCUCUUCCUAUGUACCAUAUCUACGCAUAUCCUCUUUGUUUUUCUGAAGAAUUCUGUAAUACACAUAUAUGCAUAAGUUCCAUGUAUGCAAAUAUCUCCAAGAGAUGUUAAGUAAAAAGGAAAGUUGAAGAAUAGUAUGUGUAGUAUGCUACUAAGUUUUUCAUAUGUGUGAAAAACUCUGGAAGGAUCUUCAAGAAAUAAAUUCUGUUGGCUUGUGGGUAAAGAAGCUCAGUGGCUGAGGGACAGACGCAGAAGAAAGAUUCAGCAAUUUUAAAUACUACUUGAACUUGAAAUCAUAUGAAUGUAUAGCCCAUAAAAAUAGUUGCCUUAAAAAUAAAUGACACAUAUCAAUUGACAGAUGAGUAGAUAAAUAAAAUAUGGUAUAUGUGUAUGUGUGUGUGUGUGAUGUGUGUGUGUUCAUCCCUUUAAAAAAUGAAAUUCGUACAUGUGCUGCAACUUGGAUAAACCUUGAAGACUGUAUGCUAAGUGAAAUAAGGUGGAUGUAAAAGGAAAAACAAGGCAUGAUUUCACUUACAUGAGAUACUUAGUAGAGUCAAAUUUACAGAAACAAAGCAAAAUGGUGGUUGCCAAGGCUUGAGGAAGGCAGGAAUGAGGAGUUAUCAUUUAAUGGGUAGAGAGUAUUAGUUUUGCAAGAUCUAAAGGAUUUUGGAGAUUACAUGUACAAUAGUGUAAAUGAUUUUGUCAUUCUACACAAGGAACACCCUAGUUGCAGUCACCUAGAGGAUGUGUUAGAGCAAGGGUCCCCAAACCCCAGGGCCACAGACUGAUACUGGUCCAUAGCCUGUUAGGAACUGAAUCACACAGCGUGUGAGUGGCAGGAAGGGAGAAAGGCUUCAUCUGUAUUUACAGCCACUCCCCAUCAAUCACAUGACCACCUGAGCUUUGCCUCUUGUCAGAUCAGCAGCAGCAUUAGAUUCCCACAGGAGCACGAACCUUACUGUGAGCUGGGCAUGUGAAAGAUCUAGGUUUUUUGUUUUUUACAACAACCUAAUGCCUGAUGAUCUGAGGUGAAGCUGAGGCAGUGAUACUAGCUGAGGGAGUGCCUGCAAAUGCAGACUCCUAUUAGCAGCGAGGUUUGACUGCGCAGAGACCAUAAUAAAUCAAUUGCUUACAGAUUGAGAUCAAAAUCCAUCAGUGAGCAGCAAGUGACAAUUAAAUUGCAUCUGGUGGCAGACUUUAAGUCUGCCCACUAUCUUUGUUACUUGAGUCUCCAUUAUGGUGAGUUGUAUAAUCAUUUCACUAUAUAUUGCAAUGUAAUAAUAAUAGAAAUAAAAUGUACAAUAAAUGUAAUAAUUCUGAAACCACUCUUCCUAUCCUGGUCUGUGGAAAAAUUGUCUUUCAAAAAAACAAUUCCUGAUGCCAAAAAGGUAGGGGACUGCUGUGUUAGAGGACUUUAGGGCUCUGCUCUGCCUGGUCUUUCUGUCAGCUUUAGCAAGGCAGAUUAUCUGAUUGCUCUCUGCUUUUGUUUUUUAAUCUGAAAAAUAGAAGUAUGAUUUUCCAGUCCUGAUACUUUAAUUUCAUUAUUGAGUAUUGAUGUUCCUCCACUCAGGCUCCCAGCCCUUAUGAUAAUAUCAACCCCCAGG
rnacentral:lncRNA from 1 species